AAAGACUGGAGUUUGCUCACUCUCUCUCCUCCUUGUGAGGACAUAGCAAGAAGGUGGCCGCCUGAGAUCCAGGAAGAGAGCCCUCACCAGGAACCAAAUUAGCCACCGCCUUAUCUUGAUGUCCCAGCCUCCGGAAUAUACAGGCAGAAAGCUUAUGAUGAAAAGCAUGAACCAACACACAAAGCUGGUGGAGUAUGGAACUGGGGAGUUGAAGCCCAGAAUAAACAGAAGGACCAUGGAUUCUUUAAGCCAUGAAGAAAGAGCUGCAUACAUUUUGUUUGUGGUUCCUGCUGCAGUAGGCAGACAGGCUGAGAUUCUGAAAGUGACUGAGCUACAUUGCUAUUAGAUGCUCAGUACUUCUUUGCUGAAUGAUGGGAUGCAUGCAAGCCUAUUCACUAGCAGGCAAGGCCAUCAGUGAGAAAUGAAACAUCACAAUUGGAACAUCACAUUUGACAGGAAUAAAGCAUUAUGCUGAUGGAGGAGAUGGAGCUGUUCAAGCAGGACUUAGAAGAAGCUCUUAUUGCAGCCAUUCUGUGCAGAUUCCUUAUCUUGUGUUAUGUGAAUACCAGUGUGCCAGUCAAGGCUCAGUCAGAGAAGCAGAAUCUCCAUGGUGUGGAUGUCCUGCAGAGUCCUGUGCUCCUUGAUGUUUAAACACACACCUGGCUCAAUAGUCAGAGAAGCUGAAGGAGGAGCCAGGGGAAGGUGAAGCAGGUGUGGGACCAGCUGCAGACUCAUUUCCACAGAUUCUGCGGUAGGCAAUGAGGCAUUUUGCUACACUUACUCAUGGGAAAAUAUUCCAGUCUUUUGAGGAUGUGCAAUGAGGUUGUAUUGAUGAAAUUUUCAAGAUUUCAUUUAAUUCUAACAAUUUUAUGGUUGCCUGUUUGUGCUGAUGUAUUACAGGAAGUCAGGGACCCCGAACGGAGGGACCCGCUGGAGCUGCAGCAGAGGAACAUAAAUUGUGAAGAUUUCAUCUUAAUAUGGAAAAUAUGGAAAUUUUCAGUUCUCAAAUAAUGCUUUUAUAAUUUCUUGUGCCUGUCUUUACUUUAAUCUCUUAAUCCUGUUAUCUUCGUAAGCUGAGGAUGUACAUCACCUCAGGACCACUGUGACAAUUGUGUUAACUGUAUAAAUUGAUUGUAAAACAUGUGUGUUUGAACAAUAUGAAAUCAGUGCACCUUGAAAAAGAACAGAAUAAUAGCAAUUUUUAUGGAACAAGGGAAGACAACCAUAAGGUCUGACUGCCUGCAGGGUCGGGCAAAAAUAGCCAUAUUUUUCUUCUUGCAGAGGGCCUAUAAAUGGAUGUGCAAGUAGGAAACAUAUCACUAAAUUCUUUUCCUAGCAAGGAAUAUUAAUAUUAAUACCCUGGGAAAAGAAUGUGUUCCUGGGAGGAGGUCUAUAAACAGCCACUCUGGGAAUGUUUGUCUUGUGCAGUUGAGAUAAGGACUGAGAUAAGCCCUGGUCUCCUGCAGAACCCUCAGGCUUAUUAGGGUGGGGAAAAACCCCACCCUGGUAAAUUUGUGGUCAGACUGGUUCUCUGCUUUCGAACCCUGUUUUCUGUUGUUUAAGAUGUUUAUCAAGACAAUACAUGCACCACUGAACAUAGACCCUUAUCAGUGGUUCUGCUUUUGCCCUUUGCCGUGUUCCCUCAGAAGCAUGUGAUCUUUGUUAGUCCCUUAUCAGUGGUUCUGCUUUUUGCUCUUUGAAGCAUGUGAUCUUUGUACCUACUCUCUGUCCUGACACCCGGUACCCUUUUGAAACCCUUAAUAAAAACUUGC
rnacentral:lncRNA from 10 species